GCCCACAAGUAGCAUAAAUUUCAUUUGUGUCUCAAAUGUAUCUGUAAAUUUCACAUUGAGGUGGUCCAUGUAAAAAUUUUAAAUGCCUGCUUCGUUGGAGGACACCUAGCAAGAUGUUCUGGAAUGUUUAAUUGGAGUAAUUUUUGUUUUAGGUGAGAAAUAUUUUUUAAAGAGGUUUGGUCUCUACUCCAUGAAGCACCAUUGACUAGCAGUGCACCUUCACUGCAAUACACAGCUUAAUGUAGCGGGAAACCUUUCAUGCUCGUGGCAUUUUCCUCAGCAGAGCGUUGCAGGAGUUCCUGAGACUGCCAUGCCUCAAAUAUAGCUUUUGGCUGAUGCGUAUGGCAUAGAAUGACCCAAAUAUGAAUUUCAGUUAAAGGACACCAGCAUACCUUGGCCAAUUUCUAAAUGUCACAUUAUAUCCUUUGCAAGUUUUGGACCUUGCUUUCCGAUUGUGUAAAUGCCCAAAAGAUGGUUGCCAAAAAAUAGAAAUGAUGGUUACUCUGCAACUGGUCCUUUGUGCAUUCUUUCACAUCAUAUAUAACAUGAAAGCCAGGACAACGCAUGAGGUGUUUCCUGCAGACUUCAACAUCAAAAGGCAUAGCCACUCAACGAUGCUGGUGAACACAAUUAGGACAUUUUUUAAGUUCUUCAAGCAUUAGCACAUAGGGCAGAUACAACAAAGAAGCUAGCGUACACAAAUAAAAAGAAUUUAUACAUGUUGAAA
rnacentral:lncRNA from 1 species